UAAUUUAAAGUCUAGCCUGCCCAAUGAUAAUUUUAAUGGCCGCAGUAUUUUGACUGUGCAAAGGUAGCAUAAUCAUUAGUUUCUUAAUUAGAAACUAGAAUGAAAGGUUGAACGAAAAAGUAACUGUCUCUUUAUAAUUUUUUUAGAAUUUUAUUUUUAAGUUAAAAAGCUUAAAUGAGUUUGAAAGACGAGAAGACCCUAUAGAGUUUAAUAUUUUAUUAAUUAAAUUUUAAAAUAGAAUUAUUCUUAUUUUAUUAAAAAAAAUAUUUGAUUGGGGUGAUUGAAAAAUUUAGUUAACUUUUUUUUUAUUUAAACAUAUAUAAAUGAUUAAUUGAUCCAUUAUUAAUGAUUAUAAGAUUAAAUUACCUUAGGGAUAACAGCGUAAUUUUUUUUAAGAGUUCUUAUCGAUAAAAAAGUUUGCGACCUCGAUGUUGGAUUAAAAUAAAUUUUUGGUGUAGAAGCUAAAAAAUUAGGUCUGUUCGACCUUUAAAAUUUU
rnacentral:rRNA from 1 species